UACGUAGGGUGCAAGCGUUGUCCGGAAUUAUUGGGCGUAAAGAGCUCGUAGGCGGUCUGUCGCGUCUGCUGUGAAAACUCAGGGCUUAACCCUGAGCUUGCAGUGGGGUACGGGCAGACUAGAGUGCGGUAGGGGGAGACUGGAAUUCCUGGUGUAGCGGUGAAAUGCGCAGAUAUCAGGAGGGAACACCGGUGGCGAAGGCGGGUCUCUGGGCC
rnacentral:rRNA from 1 species